CUUGGGUCCCUCAGUCUACAUUGCAUGCAUUUAUGCUGGCUAGAAGGGAUGUUCUGAAUGCAGAAUUAAAAUGCCAAAGCUGUUUGCCUGCAUUACCAGCAGGAGAAGUGGGUGCCUGCAGGUGGCCUGUGGGAAGCUGGAGUGCUGAGAAGGAUGGGUGUUCUCAAGUUCCUGGGUGGUGCUGCUGGGUGUCACAGAGCUCUGCAUCAGGAACUGCAUGCAGCAAGAAGAAAAGCACCUCCAGAAGACUAAGUAUAACAUAAGACCUCAAUAUUCUGCCAAUUCUAGUAUCCUUCUACCACAAGAAAAGUGAGUCCUUGAAAUUAACAUAGAAGCAGAGAAUGUCUAGUAACAGAAAGAUUAAAAGUAAAUUAAAAUGAGCAACA
rnacentral:lncRNA from 1 species